CCCCAUCUACUUGAAGGACUGAGAUGAGAUAUUUAAAGUGAUUACAUUGCGAGUCUGAGUAAUAGUAUUAAAUGAAAUCUAUGAACUACUUGUCGUUCUUGCAGGUUUAAGGCCUCUUGGGUACUUCUGUUUAUUGUUUUGAAUAUGUAAGAUCUCUAUUUUUGUUCCGUGACUGUGAGAGCAAUAGCAAUAAAGGGGAUUGAUUCUAUACAUUUAAAGGAAAAGAAUUGAAGAGUUAUUGUAAAAAUAAAAAAUUUAUUUUUGGGUAUAUUACUCUUAAGGCACUGAAGUUUACCAAAAUUAUGAGUCAAGAUAAUAUCUUUUCAAAAUACUAAUGCCAUAAUAUGUCAAAUAAUCUUUGUUGGAAUUUCUAACUAUAGUUAUCAAUUUGGCCUAAAAUUGUUAUUAUUUAACCAAAACAUGGGAAGGGUUAGUAAUUUUUGGAAAAUGUGGUCAUAACUUUUAACUGUGGGUGAGUCUCAAAAGCUGAAUGUAAUUUACUCUUUAUUUUCUACUCUUCAUUAGUUUCUGUUUGUGAUGAGACCAAAGGAAAUGGAAAAUUUUAGGGGUCACUUUUUUUUUUUUUUU
rnacentral:misc_RNA from 1 species